GCCUGGGUGGCUCAGUCGGUUGAGCUUCCGACUUCGGCUCAGGUCAUGAUCUCACAGCUCGUGGGUUCAAGCCCCGCAUCAGGCU
rnacentral:tRNA from 1 species